rnacentral:rRNA from 1 species
GCAGUGGGACGAAAAGACCCCGUGAACCUUUACUAUAGCUUAGUAUUGGCUUUGGAUAAGUAAUGUGUAGGAUAGGUGGGAGACUUUGAAGCUGUGUCGCUAGGCAUGGUGGAGUCGUCCUUGAAAUACCACCCUUUGAUUAGUUGGUUUCUAACUCGAAAGAGGACCGCGUUUGGUGGGUAGUUUGACUGGGGUGGUCGCCUCCAAAAGAGUAACGGAGGCUUCUAAAGGUACCCUCAGUACGGUUGGUAAUCGUACGUAGAGUGUAAUGGCACAAGGGUGCUUGACUGCGAGACCUACAAGUCGACCAGGUACGAAAGUAGAGCAUAGUGAUCCGGUGGUUCCGUAUGGAAGGGCCAUCGCUCAAAGGAUAAAAGGUACUCCGGGGAUAA